rnacentral:rRNA from 1 species
CUAGAGUGAGAUAGAGGCAAGCGGAAUUCCAUGUGUAGCGGUAAAAUGCGUAAAUAUAUGGAGGAACACCAGAGGCGUAGGCGGCUUGCUGGGUCUUUACUGACGCUGAGGCACGAAAGCGUGGGGAGCAAACAGGAUUAGAUACCCUGGUAGUCCACGCCGUAAACGAUGAGUACUAAGUGUCGGGUAAAACUGGUACUGAAGUUAACACAUUAAGUACUCCGCCUGAGUAGUACGUACGCAAGUAUGAAACUUAAAGGAAUUGACGGGACUCCGCACAAGCGGUGGAUCAUGUUGUUUAAUUCGAAGAUACACGAAAAACCUUACCAGGUCUUGACAUUUUCUUGCGAAGUUAUAGAAAUAUAAUGGAGGUUAUCAGGAAAACAGGUGGUGCAUGGUUGUCGUCAGCUCGUGUCGUGAGAUGUUAGGUUAAGUCCUAAAACGAGCGCAACCCUUGUCGUUAAUUGCCAGCAUGUAAUGAUGGGGACUUUAACGAGACUGCCAAUGAAAAAUUGGAGGAAGGUGGGGAUUACGUCAAAUCAUCAUGCCCCUUAUGAUCUGGGCUACAAACGUGAUACAAUGGUUGAUACAAAGAGUAGCUGAAACGCGAGUUCUUAGCCAAUCUCAAAAAAUCAAUCUCAGUUCGGAUUGAAGU